UCGUCCGGAGAAUCAGUCGUCGUCGAGCUUUCAAAACGUUUGCAGCAAACGGGAGAACACACGCCAGGGAUCGAAAUCCAACCAAGAGCCCCCCAGCCAGCGCCAGCAGAGCAGCCAAAAAAAAAGCAGGAGACCCACAGAUACUGAGAGAUAGAGAGAAUCCGACGAUAGAUGGAAAGAGUGUCGCCGUGCAAACGCGGAGAGAGCUAAAAGCGAAAAGUCAGUCCAAUCGAGGAAUAACUAUAGCCAAAAAGCUAUAGCAUAGCCGAGAGAAGAGCAGAGAAGAGAUCAUUGGCUCGGAUCGCUCGCUCCUUGAUUCAUUUCAGACAAAAAGACAAAAAAGCGAGAGAAAAACAAAAAAAAACGAACACCACAAAGCGAGAAAAAACCAAAAAUCGAAUUUUCAUGUUUCAAACACAAAAACCAAAAACACAAAACCAAAAUUAUUAUUGAUAAACUAUUACGAAUAAAACCAAAGAGAACACGCCAAUUGCCGCAAAACAAAAACAAAAAAACAAACGAACAAACAAAAAACUUACUCCAAAGAAAAACCAAAGCAAAAAAUUAAUAAAAACCAAAAAGAUUUUCAUUAAAUAAGAAAAGAAAAACCAGCAUAGACCACAGCUUCAAGAAGUGUGCACAAUAAUAGCAACAAAAGAAAGAAAAGAAAAACCAAAACCAAUUCCAGAGUUAUUAAACAAAACAGAAAACCAAACCAAACCAAACGAAAAGAAACGAAAACCAAUUAAGCGAACAAUUCUCUAGUUUUCUCGGAGCGAAAAAGGCAAAGAAAAGACUGCGCCAAAAGUCACGGCCAGCAAACAACUAAAAGUACAACAGCAACAACAACAAAACGAAAA